AGCAGCCGCGGUAAUUCCAGCUCCAAUAGCGUAUAUUAAAGUUGUUGCAGUUAAAAAGCUCGUAGUUGAAUUUCGGGAUUGACACAUCGGUCGUGCCUUAAGGGGUAUGAACUGGUGUAGUCAAUUUCUCACCUUCUGGAGAACCGCGAUGCCCUUAAUUGGGUGUCGCGGGGAACCAGGACCUUUACUUUGAAAAAAUUAGAGUGUUUAAAGCAGGCAUUUUGCUUGAAUACAUUAGCAUGGAAUAAUAAAAUAGGACGGCAUGAUUCUAUUUUGUUGGUUUCUAGGAUCACCGUAAUGAUUAAUAGGGAUAGUUGGGGGCAUUAGUAUUCAAUUGUCAGAGGUGAAAUUCUUGGAUUUAUUGAAGACUAACUACUGCGAAAGCAUUUGCCAAGGAUGUUUUCAUUAAUCAAGAACGAAAGUUAGGGGAUCGAAGACGAUCAGAUACCGUCGUAGUCUUAACCAUAAACUAUGCCGACUAGGAAUCAGACGAUG
rnacentral:rRNA from 1 species